AAAGCAUUAGUAUUCUCAACAUCAUGACUAGUUUGGAAGAAAAUUCCACAUGCAAUAAGAUCCCUUGCGGGUUCUUAUUUAAUUUAUCCCACUAAGACCGUCCCAAUUUAAUACUACUACUAGUGGAAACCUUUUCUUCAAUUAGAAAAACAAAAAGAAAGGAUAAGAUGGGUAAUGUCUAUGUUCCUCCUAACUUGUAUCCAACUUUUGCCUUUUAAUUCUGAUCCUUUGAAUGACAACAUAACUUUUUAGGCAAUUAAAGUAAUGGCGUAAAGUCCAAAGUCUUACAAACUCUAAAUCUUCAACUUCCUGUCCCACUCUUACACGUCCCCUACCCUUUUCUCCCUCAAAUGAACAACUCCGCCACCGCCGGAGCUGCCAUUAAACGCCGAAAGAAUCAUUAUCAUCAGUCCUUGAUUCCUGGACUUCCUGAUGAUAUAGCUCAAAUUUGCCUCUCUCUUGUACAACAACCUUUGACUCUUUACUCCGUUUGUCAAUCUUGGCGCCGGCUCCUUUAUUCUCCUUCUUUUCCCCCCUUUUUAUCUAUCUACUCGUUAUUGAAACCUUCACAAUCUAAGGAGAAAACAAAUCAAUAUGAGCAUUCUGUCGAAUUCGCCAACUUCGAUCCGAUUUCAUCCAAAUGGCACUUACUUCCUCCUCCACCGCUUGAACCGCCUCUUCGUCUCCUCCUUCGUCACCCUUCUUUCAUCUCCCGUCACCUUCCGAUCCAAUGGGUGAGCGUUUCUGGCAAAUUCGUUCUCCUUGCUGCAACCACUGACCAUCUACUGCCGGCCUUAUCUCGGCCCCUUGUUUUCAAUCCACUCAGCCGAAAAUGGACUUACGGUCCCCCACUCGCCACACCGCGACGGUGGUGUGCUGCUGGUGCGUCACGCGGCGUCGUUUACGUUGCUAGUGGGAUUGGUUCCCACUACAACCAAGAGGUAGCGCGAUCGGUUGAGAAGUGGGACCUGAAAGGUAACAACAGCUAUUGUUACUGCGCCCACUACAGCUGUAACCACCAUCACGAUAAAGACAAGGGUACUAAAAGUGGAUGGAAAUGGGAGAAAAUGGGCGGUCUUAAGGAUGGGAAGUUUAGUAGGGAAGCGAUUGAAGCAGUGUGUUGGAGAGGAAAGCUGUGUAUGGUGAACGUGAAAGGCAAUGCUGCAAAGGAAGGAAUCAUCUACGACGUUGAAAAGGACACGUGGCAGGAGAUGCCGGAGGGGAUGCUAGUGGGUUGGAGAGGUCCGGCGGCGGCGAUGGAGGAGGAAAUUAUUUACAUGGUGGAUGAAUCUAAAGGAGCAUUAAGAAAGUAUUAUCCAGGAAAUGACAGUUGGGUGGAGGUUUUGGAGAAUGAGAUGCUUAAAGGUUCACAACAUAUGGCGGCUGCCGGCGGUAGAGUGUGCGUGGUUCGCUGCGGCGGUGAUGGUAUCGCGGUUGUGGAUGUGGUGGCCAAGCCGCCGAGUUUGGCGGUGGUGGAAACUCCAUUGGGGUUUCAGGUUUUGGACCUACAUAUUUUGCCAAGAAUGAGCCAACUGGAUUCUGAAUCACAAUGAGAUCACGAAUAUUGAAUAGUUAUUGUUUUCUUGUAUUUCCAAAUUAUUCAUUCUUUUCAGUUAGGGUUUCUGGCUUCAAUUGUGGAUACUGAAUCUUCAGGAUUAGGUACUGUCAAUUUCUGCACCGGAAAGAUUAGGUAUUGUUUUUCACCUUCUCGCCCUCCUCGUUCCAGAUUGAAGAAAUUUAUAAAGCUAGAGAAACGGGAAUUCUUCUAAUUCAG